rnacentral:rRNA from 1 species
UACAGAGGGGGCAAGCGUUGUUCGGAAUUACUGGGCGUAAAGGGCUCGUAGGUGGCCAACUAAGUCAUACGUGAAAUCCCUCAGCUUAACUGGGGAACUGCGUCUGAUACUGGGAGGCUUGAGUAUGGGAGAGGGAUGUAGAAUUCCAGGUGUAGCGGUGAAAUGCGUAGAUGUCUGGAGGAAUACCGGUGGCGAAGGCGGCAUCCUGGACCAUUACUGACGCUGAGGAGCGAAAGCGUGGGGAGCGAACAGG